GUGCUUACUUUAGCAGCACAUAUACUAAAAUGGGAGCAAUACAAAGAACAUUAGCAUGGCUCCUGCACAUGGAUGGCAUCCAAAUUCAUGAAGCUUUCCAUAUUUUU
rnacentral:snRNA from 1 species